GGGAGACAGUUGGAGACUGUGAGGCAGGGGGCAGCGCCUUGCUGGUCCCAGGGCGGGCUGCUCAGGGAGGGCCUCACCUUCACUGUGCGAGGUCUGUACCUUCUCGCAGAGGCCCAGCACGCCCCCAUAGCACUUGCGGAGCUGGCCUAUGGUCUCGCUGGUGCGCUGCUCCAUGAGGUGCUACAGCUCCUUCGCCGUGCAGCCAAAGGCCUUGGCCAUGGCUGGUGAGUUGUUGAGGUGACCCUGUGUGCCCUUCCUCAUGUUUCUGGAGGACAUGGCACCGGCUGGGGGGCGGCAGUAGCAGGGGCAGGAUUCGGGCCCUGGAGGCCCAGGCCCCCUUCUGGUUAUGGGGGCUGAGGCUGGGCUCAGCUGGGGUCUAGGGGCGCCCCGCAAGGAGGGGAGAAGGGAGAGGUGCGGGACAGACCAGUGUUGCGGGGAUUGGCAUCCCUAGGCCCUGGACCUGGCUGACUGACUUCCUGGGAGCCAGGUGUAAACAGGAUGUACAUGUUACCAUGGCAACAUGGAACCCUGCUUGGGGUGGGGAAGGCGCAGCCAUCACACUUCCAAGACUUCCUAGUUGCUGGCUAGAAGCCUGCCACCUUUGGUACAAAGGGUCUGGAAAGUAUCCAGGGGAAGAAGAUCCAGACAUAUGCUUGUGUGACCAGAAGAGACAUACCCAGAAACAAAGCUGAAAAUGCCAAAACGGCUCUGAGGACCCAGACAAGUCUGUUUCCUCAUUUGGGAAAGGAAGAGAUCACAGUAAAUGACUGUGAAGGUCUGUUCCAGCUCUAACUCCUAUUAUCAAGAGCCACACCAAUGAGGAAACUGAAGCUCAAAGUCACAGUUCACAAGUGGGAGACAAAUGGCUGAGGUUUCCAGUCUCAAUCCAAGUGACCACUCCUUUCCCCACCCCAUUUCCUCAACUGCAUGCUCUCCUGCUUAAGACAUUUCAACAGCUUUGAACUGAAG
rnacentral:lncRNA from 1 species